rnacentral:lncRNA from 10 species
UGGGCGUGGUGGCACGUGCCUGUGCCUGUAAUCUCAACUACUGGGGAGGCUGUGGCAGGAGAAUGGCUUGAACCCGGGAGGCGGAGGUUGCAGUGAGCCGAGAUCACACCAUAAGGGAGGGAAGCUGGACACUGGGUAUGGCAAGAGUAAACGCCAGGAGAUGUGACUGUACCUGGUGUGCAUGCAGGGAAUGGGAGUCAUUAGGAAUCCAGAGGAAUUAGCGGGGAAUAAAAGGCCAGGAGGCCAGGAAGGGCGGAGUCCAGCUCCGUAUCGGUGGUGGUUGAAGCUAUCUUUGUGUUAUGGCCACAUCAGGGGUUCCCUUGCAUCAAUCUUCUUAUCUGUGAGGGGGACAUAGAGGUGCAUUUGUUUGGAUUAGAUUUGACUAUAAGCCACAGAUAUCCCAAAGUUAUAGUGGCUUAAACAUGGCAGACACACACACACACACACACACUACACACACACACACACACACGAACAUGGCAGACAUUUCUUUUCCUUUCACAUAGGUAUAGGGGACCAGAGGUAGUGUGGCAGAAUCCACAAUCACCAGGCCCCUUCUAUCUGGUCACUCCACCAUCUGGUCGGUCAACCAACAGGUGGCUUCCACCUCAGGGCCCAAGAAGGUUGCUCAUGCUGCAGCCGUUUUGUCAUAUUCCAGCCAGCAGGAAGGGGCAAAGAAGGCAACACUUCCCUGCUUUGAUCCCACUGGUUAGAACUUGGUCUUAGUCACAUGGCACUCUCUGCUGUACAGGAGGCUGGAGAAUGCAGUUGUCCUCUGCGGAGACCAACUUAAAAGCUGGGGUUCUAUUAAUAAUAAGAAAGGAAAAUGAUAUUAUUAAUAGUUGAUACUCGGAAGCUUCUGCCACACACAUGGCAGGCACGAGUCCUUCUUUUUGGCCUCCAGUGUAUGAACUGCUUUCCUAGGCUCUCUAGCCAUUGUGGUGUUCCUGAGAGUUCCCCAAUUAUUUCCCUAGUAGAUUACUUGUUUCUUGCCUGUCAUCGUGAGCCCUCAUAGUGAAUGGCAUAGGGGACAAGAUCAGAAAUGCCUGAUCAACAAUAACGGUGAGCAUUUAUUGAGCACGUACUGCACGCCAGGCCAUGUUAUAACCUUACUUCAGCCUCCCGAGUAGCUGGGAUUACAGGCAUGCGCCACCACGCCUGGCUAACUUUGUAUUUUUAGUAGAGACGGGGUUUCUCCAUGUUGGUCAGGCUGGUCUCGAACUCCCAACCUCCGGUGACCCGCUCGCUUCGGCCUCCCAAAGUGCUGGGAUUACAGGCCUGAGAGCCACCGCACCCGGCCGGACCUGGUUCAUUUUAAAAUUGUUGUCUUAAUCUUAGUUGCUUAACUGCUUGCAAUUCUGUGUGUUGGCUGGUGGUUCCUCUGUGGGCUUCCCCUGGGCUUGUGCAUGCGGCUGCUUCUGGCUUUCAGCUGUGCUGGCUGGGCUAAGGUGGCCUCAUUCAUGGUGACAUGGGAUUCAGAUGGGAUCCAGAUGGGAUUCAGAUAGCAGCUGAUUGUUGGCUGGGGCACCUCUGUACUGCAUCUGGGCUCUCAUCAUCCAGAAGGUUAGACUGGCUUCUGUACGUGGUGUUUUCAGCACAGCAUCCAGGAGCCCUAGGCCCAGAUGUCCCAUAAAGUCUCUUUCUCCCAUUUAUUCUAUCUCAAAGCAAGUCAAACACCAGCCCAGGGCUUCCAGGAAACUGCUCCUCGCUCCUUGUUGGCCCACAGACUUCAUUUGUACUCACUAGCAGAGGGAUAAGAUUACUCUUUGACUCAUCCGGCCCUCCAAGGCAGGGCAGGGAAUGGGGUCACUUACCUAAGGCACCUGGGUUGCCUGGGGAAGGGGGCAAGUGCAGGGAGAGGGUGGUUACAGAGGGACACAAUAGACAAUAGGACCAUCACCACCCACUGUUUAUGUUCGGUGGAAUUUCUUUCCAGGCAUUUUACAAAUAUACGCAAGAGAUCUUCCUGCCUGCCACACUUAUACUGAGAACCUUUUUCUGGAAGCCUCUUGGGACUGUGCCCUAAUUGUGUCUAGAUCCAGGGCACAAUCAUACAAUGAUGUUUUUCCUUUUCCUGGGAGCACGGAUGCUGCUAAACAUCCUACAGAGGACGGUUCCCCCGCUGCCUGACAACAAAGAAUGACCCAGUCCAGGAUGUCAAUGGGGCCAAGGUUAGAAAUCCUGACCUGUAAGUAAACUGAAGAGGCAUGCCUUUUUCUGUUGCAAUGGAGCUCCCGUGGAUCUACAAUUCACCCCAGCAAUUCCAUUUCCCCCCACCUAUGUCACAAAAUCCCACCUCUGUAGGCACAGGGAGGUCCAGCCAAGUGUGUUUAGGAUCGCUGGAAACUGGAACCAACCUGCAUGCCCGUUAGGAGGAGACAGAUCAAGCACGUAGUCACGCUGCGCUGUGUUGCUUCCCUCCGCUUCUUUUGCUCCUGGGUAAAUAGGGCGGGGGAGGUGAGAUUGGAAGGAUGCCAGGAAUCUUGGGCCCAGCUGCUGCUUUAUGACUUAGGGAUAUAACUGCUUCUGACUCAUGCGUGCUUGGCUCUUUGUGAUUAUGUGCUGAGACACGUCAGCGGGAGGCUGCCCCGGAAUGUCUCCCCAUGCGAAUCGAGGGUGGGGCCUCUGCUGAGUCACCUCUGGCUCCUAGAAGCCUGGCUCAGGGUCAGCUCAUUUGAAAAGCGGCUGCCUUUUCUUCUUUUCUCUUCUCUUCUCUUUUUUUUUCUCUCUCUCUUUCAUUCACAUUAUAGCUUGAGUCAGAACUUCAUUCCUUUUUAAGGCUGAAGGACCACAUUUUGCUUGUUUGUUCAUGUGAUCGAUGAUGAUGGACACUUAGGUUGUUUCCACUUUUUAGCUAUCGUAAACACUGUUGCUAAUGGAAUAUGGGUGUACA